ensembl:lncRNA
GUUACAGUCUGCCUGCUGCUGGUUCCUCAUUAUGGUUCAGGCCCACUACCACAGCUUGCCCUUCAAACGCUGGUUUCUUUUCCGCUCACCCCGGAAAUGCCAAGAUCGGAUUUUCAAAGUUGCAGAUCCACGUCAACGCCUGCAAUCACAGCUAAAUGGGGAUCAGGAGGCGUCGGGCGGGACAUCAGCCGCCGUCCCGCUCAGAUGUGUUAUGAAGUGUCUCAGCAUCGAUCAGGGAUAACAACUGCAUGUCCAUCGACCACACCGGACAUAACUGCAUCGACGGGAGAAUUAGAGGGAUAAUUGUUCCUCUG